rnacentral:rRNA from 1 species
UACGUAGGUGGCAAGCGUUGUCCGGAAUUAUUGGGCGUAAAGAGCUCGUAGGCGGUCUGUCGCGUCUGCUGUGAAAACUCGGGGCUUAACCCCGGGCCUGCAGUGGGUACGGGCAGACUAGAGUGCGGUAGGGGAGACUGGAAUUCCUGGUGUAGCGGUGAAAUGCGCAGAUAUCAGGAGGAACACCGGUGGCGAAGGCGGGUCUCUGGGCCGAAAUUGACGCUGAGGAGCGAAAGCGUGGGGAGCAAACAGG